CAGCCGCCGCGGUAAUACGGAGGGGGCUAGCGUUGUUCGGAAUUACUGGGCGUAAAGCGCACGUAGGCGGCUUGGUAAGUUAGAGGUGAAAGCCCGGAGCUCAACUCCGGAAUUGCCUUUAAGACUGCCGGGCUAGCAGGUGAGAGAGGUAAGUGGAAUUCCGAGUGUAGAGGUGAAAUUCGUAGAUAUUCGGAAGAACACCAGUGGCGAAGGCGGCUUACUGGCUCAUACUGGACGCUGAGGUGCGAAAGCGUGGGGAGCAAACAGGAUUAGAGACCCCUUAGUCCCUGUCUCUUAUACA
rnacentral:rRNA from 1 species